GCUUGGUUGAAAAGCCAGUGG
rnacentral:snRNA from 1 species